rnacentral:rRNA from 1 species
UCGAGAAUCUUCGGCAAUGGGCGAAAGCCUGACCGAGCGACGCCGCGUGCGGGAUGAAGGCCCUCGGGUUGUAAACCGCUGUCAGUGGGGAGGAAGGCUCUGUGAAGAGCAGGGUUUGACCUAUCCGCAGAGGAAGUCCGGGCUAAGUUCGUGCCAGCAGCCGCGGUAACACGAACCGGACAAACGUUAUUCGGAAUCACUGGGCUUAAAGGGUGCGUAGGCGGUCUGACAAGUUGGGUGUGAAAUCCCUCGGCUCAACCGAGGAAUAGCGCUCAAAACUGUUGGACUUGAGGGAGUUAGAGGUAAGCGGAACUUAGGGUGGAGCGGUGAAAUGCGUUGAUAUCCUAAGGAACACCAGUGGCGAAAGCGGCUUACUGGAGCUUUUCUGACGCUGAGGCACGAAAGCCAGGGGAGCGAACGG